CAUUUGGGAUGAAGAAAACCUUUAAGUUUAUCAAGUCCAACCAUUAACUGAGCACUGGCAAGUCCACCAAUAAACCAUGUCCCUAAGUGCCACAUCUACAUGUCUUUUAAAUACCUCCAGGAAUGGUGACUACAUCACUUCCCUGGGC